rnacentral:lncRNA from 1 species
CUUCGAUUUGCAUUACUGUUUGUUUUUAAAUAAUUUUGGACCAUACGAUCUUACUCGCUAUAAGAUUCUGAGCAACUUUGCUCUUUUGAGUUUUGCAUUUUGAAGCUCUUUGUAUUUUUCCAGAAACCAGCCACCACCCAUGGUGGUCCGGUCGUCUUCUCAGGAGACCACACACCCGUCCCUCCAAAAAUUAAAAUUGGACCAAUGGGAGUGUGACG